rnacentral:rRNA from 1 species
UGACGGAGGGGGCUAGCGUUGUUCGGAAUUACUGGGCGUAAAGCGCACGUAGGCGGCUUUGCAAGUUAGAGGUGAAAGCCCGGGGCUCAACUCCGGAAUGCCUUUAAAACUGCAUCGCUAGAAUUGUGGAGAGGUAAGUGGAAUUCCGAGUGUAGAGGUGAAAUUCGUAGAUAUUCGGAAGAACACCAGUGGCGAAGGCGACUUACUGGACACAUAUUGACGCUGAGGUGCGAAAGCUAGGGGAGCAAACAGGG